rnacentral:tRNA from 1 species
GGGUUGUUAGCUCAGUUGGUAGAGCAGCGGACUCUUAAUCCGUAGGUCGUAGGUUCGAGCCCCACACAGCCCACCA